UGACAUAUUACUUAAGAAGUUUACAUCUGUGGAACAUAUGUCAGAUGUAAUAAGCUAUAUGGAGUAGGGUUUUCAUCUGGUUUCAAUAUCCACAGAAGUGAAAAAUACAUAGACACAACUUUUUACAUCUGGUCAUAAUAUAAUCAGAAGCAAAGCUGAAUGCGGUGGCAAUCCUGUAAUUAUGGUGAGAAUUGUGUAACUCGCAGUACUAUCAUGAUCUCACUCAUCUCUCUCACGCACUGCUCACUCGAUUUCUCUCACUUCUCACUCGAACCCUAGCGGCCUUAUCUCUCUCACGAUCGAUCUCGUCUUCUCUCUCACUAAUCUCACUCGAACUCGGCGGCGUCAUCUCUCUCACCGACCUUACGUACUCGCUCAUCUUUGUCGUCUCUCUGUCUCACUGAAACACGAAUUGAUGGCUGAAUCGGAAAUUCCAAAACCCAGUGAAACAUGAAUUGAAGGUUGAAGCACUCAUAUCUGUCUUCUCUCUCGUUUCAUCUUCUCUAGCCCUAAACCCAGAGAAAAGAAAGCAUACAAGAGUUUUCGCACACGAAGAAAGCUACCUGAGUAUGCAAUUCUUCUUGAACAAAUCUGGUGAAGCUUUUAGAUUUUGUUGAACUAAAGCAGCUCGAUACCUUUCUUUGACAUUGAGAAACAUGAAACUACGAUUUUGCGUUGGUCUAUAGCUAGGACAAUAGCUACUAAGGUUAGUAAAGGUUUAUCAAAACAUGUUAAAGUUAGUUAAGGUUGAACUAAAGAUUUACAAAUUACAAGAACAAGAAAAUCAAAAUGAUUCCAGUCAAAUUACAAGAGCAAGAAAAUCAAAAUGAGAUCUUGUUCAUGAGUUUCAUAUUCAUUGGGAUCCUUUGAGUGUAAAUUAUAUUGUUUUCUAAGAUAUGUUCUGUUUUGUGAAAGCCACUGGUAGUGUGUAGUAAUUACAUUUAUUGGAAAGUGGAAACUAUGUUUGAUAAUGAUAUAGUAUAUUUUUUCAAGGUCACUUACAUGCUUCAUGAAUACGAGAUCAUUAAGGAUUUGAAGAAGUUACUGAAUUGGUGUCUGACUUACCUUUAAAUAUAUCUAAAAAUAUAUCUGAAGCUUGUACAAUAUUGGGACUGCAUUGUGUUCUUGUUACUUGUCAAUGCAUUAAUUUGGCUUUCAGCUAGCUGAAGUUGUUUUGUUGCGUUCCUCUGUACAGUGAGUUUGAUUCGUGUCAGUGCGCA